rnacentral:rRNA from 1 species
UAGGGAAUAUUGGACAAUGGGCGCAAGCCUGAUCCAGCCAUGCCGCGUGUGGGAAGAAGGCCUUCGGGUUGUAAACCACUUUUGUCAGGGAAGAAACGGCCUGAUCUAAUACAUUGGGUUAAUGACGGUACCUGAAGAAUAAGCACCGGCUAACUACGUGCCAGCAGCCGCGGUAAUACGUAGGGUGCGAGCGUUAAUCGGAAUUACUGGGCGUAAAGCGUGCGCAGGCGGCUUUGCAAGACAGAUGUGAAAUCCCCGGGCUCAACCUGGGAACUGCAUUUGUGACUGCAAGGCUAGAGUACGGUAGAGGGGGAUGGAAUUCCGCGUGUAGCAGUGAAAUGCGUAGAUAUGCGGAGGAACACCGAUGGCGAAGGCAAUCCCCUGGACCUGUACUGACGCUCAUGCACGAAAGCGUGGGGAGCAAACAGGAUUAGAUACCCAUGUAGUCCCUGAGCGGGCUGGCAAGGCGCAU